rnacentral:rRNA from 1 species
AUUGAACGCUGGCGGAAUGCUUUACACAUGCAAGUCGAACGGCAGCACGGACUUCGGUCUGGUGGCGAGUGGCGAACGGGUGAGUAAUACAUCGGAACGUGCCCAAUCGUGGGGGAUAACGUAGCGAAAGCUACGCUAAUACCGCAUACGAUCUAAGGAUGAAAGCGGGGGAUCGCAGGACCUCGCGCGAUUGGAGCGGCCGAUGGCAGAUUAGGUAGUUGGUAGGGUAAAGGCCUACCAAGCCGACGAUCUGUAGCUGGUCUGAGAGGAUGAUCAGCCAUACUGGGACUGAGACACGGCCCAGACUCCUACGGGAGGCAGCAGUGGGGAAUUUUGGACAAUGGACGCAAGUCUGAUCCAGCCAUUCCGCGUGCAGGAUGAAGGCCCUCGGGUUGUAAACUGCUUUUGUACAGAACGAAAAGGCUCUGGUUAAUACCUAGGGCUCAUGACGGUACUGUAAGAAUAAGCACCGGCUAACUACGUGCCAGCAGCCGCAGUAA